rnacentral:rRNA from 1 species
UACGUAGGGGGCAAGCGUUGUCCGGAUUCCUUGGGCGUAAAGAGCGUGUAGGCGGCCAGGUAGGUCGGUUGUGAAAACUGGAGGCUCAACCUUCAGAGGUCGACCGAAACCAUCUGGCUAGAGUCCGGGAGAGGAGAGUGGAACUCCUGGUGUAGCGGUGAAAUGCGCAGAUAUCAGGAAGAACACCCGUGGCGAAAGCGGCUCUCUGGAACGGUACUGACGCUGAGACGCGAAAGCGUGGGGAGCGAACAGG